rnacentral:misc_RNA from 1 species
CAGAGUUGCAAAACUCCCACAAACCAUCGCGAAUCUUACCCGUACGGUUGCCUCGGCGCUGGCGGUCCGGAAGGCCCUCGGGCCCCCGGAUCCUCGGGUCUCCCGCUCGCGGGAGGCUGCCCGCCGGAGUGCCGAAACUAAACUCUUGAUAUCUUAUGUCUCUCUGAGUAAACUUUUAAAUAAGUCA